rnacentral:rRNA from 1 species
CACGUAGGGCGCAAGCGUUGUCCGGAAUUAUUGGGCGUAAAGAGCUCGUAGGCGGACUGUCACGUCUGCUGUGAAAAGCUGGGGCUUAACCCUGGCCUUGCAGUGGAUACGGGCAGACUAGAGGUAGGUAGGGGAGAAUGGAAUUCCCGGUGUAGCGGUGAAAUGCGCAGAUAUCGGGAGGAACACCGGUGGCGAAGGCGGUUCUCUGGGCCGUAACUGACGCUGAGGAGCGAAAGCAUGGGGAGCGAACAGG